rnacentral:rRNA from 1 species
GUCCUAGCCGUAAACAAUGUGCACUUGGUGUAAGCCGGUUUUCGGUUUGUGCCGAAGUUAACGCGAUAAGUGCACCGCCUGGGGAGUACGGUCGCAAGUCUGAAACUCAAAGGAAUUGACGGGGGCCCGCACAAGCGGUGGAGCAUGUGGUUCAAUUCGAUGCAACGCGAAGAACCUUACCUGGGUUUGAACUGCAACUGAAUGAUUCAGAGAUGAAUCAGGCUAGCAAUAGACAGUUGUAGAGGUGCUGCAUGGCUGUCGU